GACGAACCGUGCGAACGUUGUUCGGAAUCACUGGGCUUAAAGGGCGCGUAGGCGGGCUGCCAAGUCCGUGGUGAAAUCCCCCGGCUCAACCGGGGAAUGGCCUCGGAUACUGGCGGUCUUGAGGGAGGUAGGGGCGUGCGGAACUGUAGGUGGAGCGGUGAAAUGCGUUGAUAUCUACAGGAACUCCGGUGGCGAAGGCGGCACGCUGGACCUCUUCUGACGCUGAGGCGCGAAAGCCAGGGGAGCGAACAGG
rnacentral:rRNA from 1 species